AUGGAAACAGAAAAUAUAAAUCAUUCUGCUUAGUAAAUUUAUUGAACAUAUAAUCUUGGAGGCAUAUCCAUUCAUAAAGCUACGCAAGUUAACAGCUGUUGGACCACUAAGAAAGAUUUGGUGCAACUUAUGUUCAUUAGUAAAGAUUGUUUUUGAUAGAUAAGACACUACUUUUUCAAUAAUGAUGGGCAUUUUUUGUCGUCUUCUCAUUCUCACGUUUUAAUCAAAAACUAGUGGGGGGAGUGCAUCUUCUACAAGCAAGACUUUGUUUUGUCUACUUUCCAUAAAAUAUCCUAGACAAAACAAUGAUAUAAUUUAGAAGGACAAAUGUAGUGCCCCCUCAGGUAAGGUGAGAAUCACCAAGGAUGCUAUUCUUCUUCAUUGUCUAUUUAUUGGGAACAUCUUGAACAACUUUUGAUAGAUAAGACACUACUUUUUCAAUAAUGAUGGGCAUUUUUUGUCGUCUUCUCAUUCUCACGUUUUAAUCAAAAACUAGUGGGGGGAGUGCAUCUUCUACAAGCAAGACUUUGUUUUGUCUACUUUCCAUAAAAUAUCCUAGACAAAACAAUGAUAUAAUUUAGAAGGACAAAUGUAGUGCCCCCUCAGGUAAGGUGAGAAUCACCAAGGAUGCUAUUCUUCUUCAUUGUCUAUUUAUUGGGAACAUCUUGAACAACUAAAAUAGUGAAAGAAGUAUACUUUAUAUUGGGAAAGAUCAAAGAAGCGAAGGAUACUGACAAUAAAUCCUUGUUGUAAUUUAGCACAAGUCAACAUGACUUGGUAUUGCUCAAUUCUGAGCUGGCACUCCUUGUGCCAGCAGCCGAUAAAUCCUUCUAACAUGAAACAUAAUGCUAGAUUUCUAUAUAUUAGUUAAAAACGUUUUCUAAAAGUGUUUGUAACAUGUCUAUGAGCUAAUUAGCACAGUUAAAUUUGUUAGUCCAAUUCAAAAACAGAAAGUAGGGAAUAAUGUACUGUAUCUUAGUUUAUAGGCCAAAGCAUUCUGAUGGAGUUGCCUAUCUUUUGCGCCAUCACUUGCAAAGGGUCAGCAUGCUACAACAUGUGAAAGAUAUGCGAUAUUUUUUUAAGAGUUGAGAUGGACUUUCAGAAGAAAAUUGGACUUGGCAUUUGGUGUGCACUUUCAUCUACUCAUCAUUGUGGUAACACUGCUGAUAUAGUAGUUUGGCAGCAUAUUGUUUGUAAUAUUGAAAGGAUAUUAUGUAUGACAGGCAAUGUUUCAAUUGUAUGACUGGAUGUUAUCUUAAA